AAAAGAGGGGGGAAUGCGAGACCAAAUGCAAUGAUGAGAGAGUUUCGUAAUUGUUUGGGAGAGUGUGGCCUGGAUGAUAUGGGAUGUAUAGGUUAUCUUUUCACAUGGAGGAGACGUGAAAUCAGGGAAAGAUUGGAUCGAGCGGUUCGUAAUGUGGAUUGGGCAAAUAAAUUUCCUCGGGCUGUGGUCAUAAACGAAGAGCAUGUACACUCGGAUCAUCGUCCUCUAGACACAGAAUAUUUUGAUGAUAAUAUUUUUAAUCGCCCAAAGAGUCGAGUGAAACAAUUUGAAGCUAGAUGGCUUAAAGAAGAGACGGUUAUGGAAAUCAUACGUACAUCAUGGGAUAAGGCGAAGAUGUUGGGCAUAGGCCGUCUCUAG
rnacentral:rRNA from 1 species